AUGGAUUCCAUCAGGGCUAACGGGACUUGGGAGCUUACUGAACGUCCUUAUGGUUGCAAACCAUUGGGAUGCAAGUGGGUGUUCAAGAAGAAGCUUAGGCCUGACGGCUUUCUUGUUAAUGAGGCCGACAAAUGUGUAUACUAUCGCUAUGGUGGGGGCGAAGGAGUUAUAUUGUGUUUGUAUGUUGAUGACAUACUGAUAUUUGGGACUAAUCUCAAGUUGAUCGAGGAAGUUAAUUCUUUCCUAUCUCAGAACUUUGAGAUGAAGGACCUUGGAGUGGCUGAUGUUAUCUUGAACAUCAAGCUAUUGAGAGAUGAUGAAGGUGGGAUUACACUUCUGCAAUCCCAUUAUGUUGAGAAGGUGUUGAGUCGGUUUGGAUAUUCAGACUGUACUAUGAACUAUGGACUUCACUAUACCGGAUACCCGUCGGUACUUGAAGGGUAUAGUGAUGCGAAUUGGAUCUCUGAUGCUGAUGAGAUGAAGGCCACAACUGGGUAUAUGUUUACUCUUGGAGGUGGUGCUGUUCCUGGAAGUCUUGCAAGCAAACGAUCUUAA
rnacentral:rRNA from 1 species